UUGGCUUAUUUUUUUUUUCAGCAGGGACUAUGUGUGUUGUGAAACAGGCUUUAAACAUGUCAAGGUUUCUGCUCAUCCUUGGAUUGACAGAAUGGCUGUCAGAGGCUGCAUGAGCAGUAAUCAAACAAACUGCUGCUCUAGCUUUAUAAUUCACAGCUUUUUACCAUAUCUCAAUGGCACACCGUCCUUCCCAAUCCUUAAACUGUGUCUGUGCCCUUAGGUAAAGAAGAUAUCAGCUCUUCUCCUCUAUAACAUUCUCAUAGCCUGCUGUCACAAACACAUGCGCAUACACAUGCAACCUGAGUCUUCACCCUCCUCCGCUCUCAGAGAGAGGCACUUGUUUACUGUGAGUUGCCAACUUGUCCGUGAAAGACUCUUUGGGGAGUUUGCUGUAAAUAUGGUGACAGGCAGGAAGCACUUCUGAGGAGGGGGAAAGCUUCAUUAUUGCUCAUACUGAGGAUAUCCUUUGAAGUUGGAGCCAAUAGCCUUGCGGUUGCACUUCGGACUAUGGAGGGGGUUCCCUGGUGUUCCUGGAUAUGCUUCACGUUGAGGAUGGGAUUACACUCAAGUCUGAUGUACGGGCCCACUGGGACCAGGAACUUGAGACAUCUGUCUGCGGGAGUGGGGUGGUCGUGUGGAGUUGCCCCCCCACCCCCUCAUCAGGCACCCUGACAGCCCACUGACAGAUAACAGCUGCUGGGAAAGCCUCCCACCGCUUCAAGCUACUGUUCCGUGAGUCUGCAGCUUGUGUCAUUUCUUCAGCACCAAACUUCCUCUUUAUCAGAAAGCUCUGGAAUCCUGAUGCAAGUAUAGUCUUGGUACGAAAAGACAUUUGCUCAUUUCUGAAGCAUUGCAUUCAUUAUGCUGAUGACAUAUGGGUCACCAACAAUGAGGUCGCAUACAGUUUUAAAAUGCAUUUUAAUUAUUUAUUGUGCAUUCAUUUUAUCACAGUCUUUUUUGUUGCUGGAGGAGGUGAUUUAGAGGUUAGUUAAUGAUUUUACAUUCUUUUACCUUCUUUUUUUUUGCCUCAAAUUCAAUCUGCUGUGUUCCAAGGCUGUUAAUACAGAGUAUCAGCACUGUAAUGCUUCACUGUUUGUAUGACUCCGCUUGUUUGUUUACAGCUUUCCAGAUCAGAGUAUUUGGUCGGUGCGGAGUAAAUGAGCAAUGUGACUUUGCCUUAAAUGAGGAGAGAGUUUUUUGGAAGUCGGAGUGUCUGUGUUUUUUCUGUCUACAGAGUUUCUCUUACCAGAGAGGAUGGAGCAAGCAUGGAGCGGGUAAUGGAAAACCUGUGGAUUUGGAUUGAGAUGCACAUUUAAGGAGAGAAGGAGAGAAAUUAACUUGUUGUUGAUGGAUACAAAUAUACAAACUAGCUAGCCAUUUGUUUUUUUAUGUAAGCCUACACUACUGUUGAAAUGUCUGGGGUCAGUAAGAUUAAUAUGUUAAAGAAAUGUAUACUUUUAUUCAGCAAGGAUGCAUUCAAUUGAUCAAAAGUGAAAGUAAAGACAUUUUUAUGGAUUCAAAGGAUUUCUAUUUCAAAUAAAUGCUGUUCGUCUGAACUUUUUUCACAUUUUAAGCAGCACAACUGUUUUCAACACUGAUCACUGAUAAGAAAUAUUUCUUGAGAACCAAAUCAGCCUAUUAGAAUUAUUUCUGAAGGAUCAUGUUACUGGAGUAAUAAUACUGUCCUCCAUCACAGGAAUUUAUAAUAGAAAACAGUUAUAACAGUUUCACAUAAUAUUUCACAUCAUUGCAGUUUUUGCAAUUUUUUAUCAUCUCAACAGAUGCAGCCAAAUCAUACUUUCAACAGGACUGAUUUACUUAUUAAUAGUGCAGCUGUUAUUCAGUUUCAGGCCCAAGGCUGCAAGCCGAGUGCUGUAGGUAAUCGCAGACGUACUGAUAUUAAAGCUGUCUUUCUUGUGUGAUAUUGCUUAAAUACAUCACUUGUCAUUCUAUUCUAGAGCUAUGGGUGUGGUGUCUUUGGAGAUAUUGGAGAUACAGCAAUGACCUGUAGCUACCAUCUGUCUUUUUGGGUUUUGUUAAGUGUGUAACUAAAUUCAACUCUGAAAUCAAUAAACUGGAAGUACCCCGCCAGAAACUUGAAACACUAUACAGCAGUAUAAUCUCAUAUGGGGACCGGUCAGAUGUAAAUUGCAUUCUAGCAAAACAUUAAUUGUGUAGAUUAAACAUAACAUUCUACAAUUGUUGUUUUUCAAAGGGAAGCAAAACAUUUUGGUAACAAUUUAGUUAGUGCUGAUCAACUGUCACUAUUAAAAAGGUCAUAUGACGUUGCUAAAAAUUAUUUUGUGUAUUAGGUGUAAUGCAAUGU